rnacentral:rRNA from 1 species
UACGUAGGGUGCAGGCGUUAAUCGGAAUUACUGGGCGUAAAGCGUGCGCAGGCGGUUUGCUAAGAGAGAUGUGAAAUCCCCGGGCUUAACCUGGGAACUGCGUUUCUAACUGGCAGGCUUGAGUGUGGCAGAGGGGGGUGGAAUUCCACGUGUAGCAGUGAAAUGCUUAGAUAUGACGCAGAACACCAAUUGCGAAGGCAGCUUGCUACACUACUAUUGACACUGAGGCACGAAAGCCGUGGGGAUCAAACAGG